rnacentral:lncRNA from 1 species
AGGAACCAGAUGGAGGCCAUUGAAUUGUUAGUCUACCUUCCUCCAUUGGAGUCUGAGGCAUAGAUGGACCGAAAGGAGAAUCAUCUAGCUUUAGAUGGUGGAGGAGAGCACGACUUGUGCUAGAACUUGUUCAAGAAAUUUGACAAAUUUACGCUUCUCAACCUUACUCAUGGCUCUCGCGUCUUGAUGUUUCAAGAGUUGUUCGUGGAGGGUACGUAAGGCUAUCCCCAAUUGAAUCUUUGACUGGGGGAGAGAUGAUUCCGUCAGGGAAUUUAAUGUAAAAAUUCGAAAAACAAACAGAUAACAUUAUUAUUAGAGGAAAUGUUUCAAAUAAAAUAUUUAAAAUGAUAUAUUUUGUGAAAUAUUAAUUUAGAACGUUCAUUUAUUUUAAAUUAAAUGAAACACAUAUUAAGGUAGAUCAUAUCUCGAGGUUGUAUAUCUCAAUUUACUCCAAAUAAAUAUGUUAGAUUAAUAUCUCAUUUGAAGUUUACCCUAUUAAUAGAUGAGAGAUCGGAGAUCGAACGACAGGAUGGAAUUAGUGGAAUGUUUUAGAGAUUAAUUUUAUACCAUUUAAAUGAAAUAAAAGAGUACUUAUACUAUUACAAUAUUUGUAAUUAAUUAAUUCUAAAGGAUUUUUAAUAUAAAAAUUCUAAUUGAAGCAGCGGUCUUCCGCUUCUCUCUCCGGCUCGGACCCGGUUCAUCACCGUUGGGUGAUUUUUUUUUACCGUGGUCUUCCCCCAAUUAAGUUAGGAUUUAGGUCGUCUUCUUCAACAACAACUCUUCUAAUCGUCAUGCUAUCUUCCUGGAUAGUGGAGCAGUCUAUCAGCAUCAUAUCAUCGUCGGCUUCUUCAGAUUCGGCAUUGUCUUCAAUGUUGAUAGGAGGGAAAAGACGCAACACAUCUUCAUGAAAUUCCCAAGACGAGUCCUCCGGUAUCGCUCCAUUCCAAGCGACCAGCCAUUGAUUUCUCUGUCUCGAUCUCACCCUGAAAAAUGGUACGUUUAUUAGAAUAAAUAACUUCUACUGUUUUGUUAGUUGAGUUUAAUAUUCUCAAAUACAAGUUUAUACAAUGAGUUAGUUGUUAGAGGUUAAUUAGUUUUAGAUACUCUUUCUUAUAAAUACUUUUGUAAGACUGUAUUCUUGGUUAAUGAAUUGAGUUCUUUCUUUUGAGAUUAUUGUUGAAUUGAGCUUGAAACAAGCACCAAAAUCUUGGUACUCAAGACUGAGUGCAUUCCUAAUAUUAAAUGAAUUCUCUAACAGUCUGGCAGAUACAUUAUUGUUUCAAAAAAAAGAUAAUAUUUUAAUUUGAGUAAUUGUGUAUAUAUAUAGAUGACAUUAUAAUUUCAAGAAACAACAACAUUGAAAUUGAAGUUUUUAUUAAAAAUCUUUGUACUGCAUGAAUUUAGAUGUAGAGACCUAGGACUUUUGAAAUAUUUCUUUAGUAUAGAAAUUAGAUACAAUUUUGAUGGGUCACUUAACAUGACUCAAUCUAGAUAUGCAUUGCUUAUUUUAAGUAAAAACAACAUGCUAAAUUGUAAACUCAUAAGAACAUUAAUAUUGCCAAAUUCCAAAUUGUCCAAAGAAAAUGGAGAAUUGUCCAAAGAAAUUAAGAUGACACCAGAAAAUCAACAACAAGCUAUUGUGUAUAUAUCGGAGGAAAUCUAGUGACAUGGUCAUCAAAGAAAUAGACAACUAUUUCAAGAUCCAGUGCUGAGGCUCAAUAUAUAGCCUUAGCAAGUCAUACAACUGAAAUUAGAUGGACUCACUUCAUAUGUAAGGACCUUCUACAUAAUUUACAUCAGAAACCUUUGUUAUAUACAGAUAACAGUUCAGCCAUUUUUAUGGCUAGAAACUGUUAAGUUUUGAUAGGUGUAUGAAAUAUAAUCCAAGUAUGGUUUAAUGAUUAAUCCAGAGUAAAGCAAAAUAGUGUUGAUACAGCGGAUAGUAUUGAUUGUUUAAUUUAUCUAAUGAGUAUGAUCAAGAUGUGUUGCAGGUAGAUAAUGUUUGACAGGGAUGAUAUAUAUAUGAUUUGUCCAAGUAGAUGCGGAGAUAUGUGUAUGCAUGCAAUAGAUAUCAGGUAUGAUAUAUAUAUAUGCAGGUGAUUUAGCAAUACUGAGAUCGUUUGGAGAGCGAGGAGAUGACGAUGUAGGAGAGUCGAUGACUGAGUGUAGAGCAGAUCGGAGUGAAGCUGAUGAUGACUUUGAUCCACAGAUGAUGAUUAAUCCCAAAGGGAGUAUGAUUUUGAAACUUAGUAUCACAAACUGUAAAACAAUGUUAGGUUUGAAUUUGAUAUAUAUAGAUGGUUUAAAUGUUUGAUUCCAGCUUAUAACGGUCAUAAGCUCAAGGUUCAACUGGCGCUUGUUGUCAAUGUUGCUGAAGGCAAAGGUGGCAUCAAGUGAUGGUUGGACCUUCCUAGGAUUUCUAUCAUAUUGAAGGUUUAGGUAUUAAAUUGAUCAUGUAAGGGUUUAGAUUAUAAAUUGGUUAAUGAGGGUUCAUAUUGUAAAUGUUGUAAAUGGAUUUAUGUAAUAAUUUUAUACGCCCCCUCAAAAGCGAGUUGGGCUGAAAAGAAACGAACUUUUGGACUGGUCCAUGUUCCAAUCUUUAAAUAUAAAAAGGGUUUUGUAAAUUUGAUUUUGAUUAUAAACACGAAUCGUCCUGUAGGGUUUCAGCGGGAAAUGAGGGUUUCACUGGAAGCAAGGGUUUGCUGGAGGCAAUCGUUCGGGUAUGUUUCUAGUCUUCUUCUUUUGUGCAUGUCGCUCUAUUCCUCUUGUUUAUGUUGUCUUUGGUUGGGUAUCCUUAUUCAUUUGUAUUCUUAAUGGGUUUUGUAGUGGGUGUUCUGUCUGUUAAUGUGUUUGCAUGUCAGUGUUUUCUUUCUUGGUGUUUGUUUUCCUUCAUCCAUUGUGUUUGUUUUCCUCUAUCAGUCUGUUCUGUGUAAGUUUUCCAUUUUCAGUUUCUUUUUGAGAUGAUUGAAUAGAUAUCCUGUAACAUCUUUUGUGAAGAUGUCUUCCACGUUUUCUUUGGUGUUUACCCUUUCUAUUUCAAUCUCUUUUUGCAAAGCUUUGUCUCUGAUCGUGUGUGUAUCGAUUUCUAUGUGUUUUGUUCUUAAUUUGAUGUAAGACUGGGUUUGUUGCGAUUGCAGUUGCAGAGGAACUAUUAAUUUGUAUAGAGUUUUGGAGUUACUAUAUUUACUUGCAUUUCCUUUAAUAGUUGUUUUAGCCAUGUGAUUUCACAAGUUGUGUGUGCUAAGGGUCGGUACUCUGCCUCUGCUGACGAUCUUGUUACUGUAUGUUGUUUUUUGGUUUGCCAUGAAACUAGGUUAUCAUUCAAGAAGAUGGCAAAUCCUGAUGUGGAUCGUCUGGUUGUGGGGAAAGAGGCCCAGUCAGAGUCUGAAAAUACUUUAAUCCUUGCGGUUCUUGUGCCUGAUGAGAAGAAAAGUCCACUUGCUGGUGAGUUUUUAAUGUAUCUUAAUAUUUUGUUCAACUUAGUAGAGUCUUCAUUUGUUGGUUCUGACAUGUGUUGGCUUAGUUGGUUUACUACAUAUGUUAUAUCGGGUUUGGUUACAGUUAGGUAGACAAGUUUUCCAACUAUGCAUUUGUACUCAGUAGGAUCAUCAAGUAAUUUAAUUUCCUUGUUCUGUUUGUUUGACGAUCUUGAUGGUGUAUAGAGUGGGUAUUCUCCUGGUUUAGCAUGUAGAUAGUUGUUUUGUUCAAGGAUUUCUAAUGCAUAUUUUCUUUGGGUAAUAAAAAUCCCAUGUUGUGUUGUUGUGAAUUCUAAUCCUAAGAAUUUUUUUAAUGUUCCUAGAUCUUUGAUGUUAAAAAAACUGGUUAAAUCUGUCUUAAGUUUGAUUAUUUCUUUUAAGUUAUUUCCUGUGAUUAAUAGAUCAUCUACAUAUGGUAAGAUGAAAAUUUUAUUUUUCCCAUUGAUCUUACUGAAGAGUGCAUAAUCCUCUCUUGUCUGUUUAAAACCUAAUUUGUUUAGUACUUGUUGUAGUUUGUUAAACCACAUUCUAGAUGCCGAUCCAGAGGCUCAAUCGCCGACUCCCCAUGAGCCUAGUGGCAGUCUACCAGAACUGUCCACGAAGCCUAGAGUCAGCGAUUCACCCCUGAAGUCGGCGACUUGGUAGUCCCAGUCGGCGACUCCCAGGUGCUGCCUUGAGUACUUGACGUAGACACUCCUUCCAAAUUCGUGGAACUCUUCGAGGGUCCGGCAUAAGGCGACGGAACCCUAGUCCUUGUCGAAGGGCGUUGCUGGGAGUGGCUGACGUGAUCAGGCAUGUCUCACCAGUACUCCCCCCUGAAGAGAGCAUGGCAAAACACCUGUGUACCGCCAGUAUCCCCCCCAAGCAAGGUGAUCUGCAUCAAGGCGAGUAGCGACAAGAUGGGAUUGAGUCAUUGCGCUCACAGCGACACUAAUGGCUCCGCAUGGUCCAUGCACUAUCAGAUGGACUGAUUCACUAUCAGAAUCUAGUUCCAGGCCAAUGGAACUACAUGUUUAUAGUCCUACUCUGAUCAAGAGCGACUUUUGCUGUGUGGAUUCUGGCCGAAGCGACAAAAUGCAUGGAUUCACUAUUAGAAUCUGAUUCUGGCCGAAGCGACAGAAUGCGUGGAUUCACUAUUAGAAUCUGAUUCUGGCCGAAGCAACAGAAUGCGUGGAUUCGUUAUCCGAAUCGGGUUCUGGCCGAAGCGACAAAUCGCGUGGAUUCAUUAUUAGAAUAUGAUUCUGGCCGAAGCGCGAGAAUGCGUGGAUUCGUUAUCCGAAUCGGGUUCUGGCCGAAGCGACAAAUCGCGUGGAUUCAUUAUUAGAAUCUGAUUCUGGCCGAAGCCCGAGAAUCUAGUUCACUAUCAGAACUGAUGUUUAUAGUCUACCCUGAUCAAGAGCGACUUGGUGUCCGCAACGACGGUUACCCCAUAGGCCGAAGCGCAAGAUGGGUCGAGAUCAUUAAGGUCAAAGCGACAAAAUGAUCUCCAAAUGUUCGAAGGACUAUUGAAGCCAAAGUGACAACAUAAUUCUUGCCGAAGCGACAGAAUCAUGCCUGCAAAACAAAAAACAACCUGCAAAACAACUAUAUCAGUCUAAAGGAUAUAUUUAUUGAUUUACUGACCUUGCCGUGCGGAGCAGCCUCUCAUGCUGCUCCUCCUUAUGCUCAAUAAAUCCUUGAUUGAUCUGUCCGAAGCGACAGAUCUUUCAUGCUAAAAAAUGUGACAGCUUCUGGCCGAAGCGACAGAAGUGCCGACUCACUAUUAGAGUCUGAUUCUGACCAAGGCUACAGAUCCACNNNNNNNNNNNNNNNNNNNNNNNNNNNNNNNNNNNNNNNNNNNNNNNNNNNNNNNNNNNNNNNNNNNNNNNNNNNNNNNNNNNNNNNNNNNNNNNNNNNNNNNNNNNNNNNNNNNNNNNNNNNNNNNNNNNNNNNNNNNNNNNNNNNNNNNNNNNNNNNNNNNNNNNNNNNNNNNNNNNNNNNNNNNNNNNNNNNNNNNNNNNNNNNNNNNNNNNNNNNNNNNNNNNNNNNNNNNNNNNNNNNNNNNNNNNNNNNNNNNNNNNNNNNNNNNNNNNNNNNNNNNNNNNNNNNNNNNNNNNNNNNNNNNNNNNNNNNNNNNNNNNNNNNNNNNNNNNNNNNNNNNNNNNNNUAUUAGAACCUUUCCUGCAAAAAAGAAAACAUCCUGCAAAAUAACUAGAUCAGUUCGAAAACGCAUAUAUUUAUUAUUGAACUUACCGUGUGAUCUACCUUUCGUGAUGUCCCUCCUUUGCUCAAAUUUGUCCUCGGUAAAUCUGGCCGAAGCGACAGAUUUUACCGUGCUCAAUUUCUUUGACGACUUCUGGCCGGAGCGACAGAAGUGUCGGGAGAGCUUGUGAUACUCCCCCCUGAAAUGUGACGACUUCCAUCCUAUAGACAGAAGUGCCGGGAGAGCUUGUGAUACUCCCCCUCGAAAUGUGACGACUUCUAUCUAAAUAGACAGAAGUGCCGGGAGAGCUUGUGAUACUCCCCCUCGAAAUGUGACGACUUCCAUCCUAUAGACAGAAGUGUCGGGAGAGCUUGUGAUACUCCCCCCUGAAAUGUGACGACUUCCAUCCUAUAGACAGAAGUAUCGGGAGAGCUUGUGAUACUCCCCCUCGAAAUGUGACGACUUCCAUCCUAUAGACAGAAGUGUCGGGAGAGUUUGUGACACUCCCCCUCGCGAAUUGUGCCCUUGUGACACAAAAACAUUUGCGACGAGUGUUUUUCGAAGUAUGUGACUGUCGGUGAACUAUCUAUUGUUUUUCCUUUGCUAAUCUUUCAUAUAAAUUACCCUUCAAAUUGUAACUAAGGCCCGAAACUAGAUUCACAAGUCGUAAUUUAGCCACUCUGGACGUAAAUUAGACUCUGCUAACCCUAUUGCUAGCCACUCUGGGCAUAGACUUGGUCGUACGAAUCGUAGCUCAGUCUACGGUUAAAUUUAUGGACAAUUUAUACCUCUAGACUAGCGUCGGAUUACUAGAGAUAGAGUAAACGACGAAUCAGAGAUAUUCGACACUCAAAGGUUGCCUUAAAAUUCGGAACCUUAACGAUGGAGAGAGCUUGUGAUACUCCCUCCUGAAAUAUGAUGACUUCUGGCCGAAGCGACAGAAGUGUCGGGAGAGUUUGUGAUACUCCCCCCUUGAAAUUUGACAACUUCUGGUCGAAGUGACAGAAGUGUCGGGAGAGUUUGUGAUACUCCCCCCUGAAGACUUGCACUUGGGGCAGUUUUAGUGUUAUUUUACCCGGAAUCGGCAACAAGAGUUUGUGAUACUCCUACAGUCGGCGAUACCUAUGGUUUGGGUAACUGUAGAGGGUAUUUUUGUUUUUUACCCCUGCGAGUCGGCGACUCCCUCUGUGAGUCGGCGACUCCUAGUGUAACCGCCGGAUCUUUUUGGGAGAUCCUUGGGAUAUUGGGAAGAUAUACGGGGAUUAUUUGUAAAAUCUCCAAAUAAGGAAAUUUUUCUCACAGUGCUGUGAGUUUUUGCCCGGAGUCGACGACUGCCCUGUGGAGUCGGCGACUUGGCGUGAUUCGGGGGAUUUGGAGAUCGAUUCUUGAUCUCAAAUUUUGUAAAUUUUGGGUUUUCUAGGGGGUUUUUGCAAUUUUCCCAAGGGCUAUAAAUAGUGGAGAGGUUUUCCCCAAACCCUCACAACACUUUUGCCACUCUUAAAUCGCCCACACCUCCAGAUUUUUGAAUCGUCGAUUCUUCAGUUUUAAAACUUCGAAUCGCAGAUUCCCCCAAUGUCUACCCCCGAUUCCCCUUUGUCUCCAUUGAAGGAAAACGAAACGUCAGCUUUCAUAGCUGAGAUGAUUGUGGACAACCUUGAUGAGGUGUUGAACACCGUUGAAUCGCCGAUUCCCUCUCCUGACAGAGAGGUUGAGCCGGCGAUUCCGGUCGUGCCACCUCAUGGAAUGGAGUUGAGUGCCACCGUGCACGAACUACUUGGCGCCUCGCCAGUGUCGGCGACUCCCCUUGUGGAGUCGGCGACUCAGUGCAGGGCCCUUGUAGUCGUACGGGAGCCUCUUGAGCUGGGGGAAAUUCCCGUGGCCUCUGUGUCGGCGACUCCCAUUGUGGAGUUGGCGACUCACGCAGGUCCUGUUAAAGGGAAAUCCUUCAAGCGAAGGGGGCAGGGCUCAGCUGCCAUUGGGUCGGCGACUGCUGGCCAUGCCUCGCCGAUUCCUAUCAUUGAAUCGGCGACUCGUGUGCUGGAGUCGGCGACUCCUAUGCUUAUUGAUGAUUCUUCCGCGCGUCGCACCGUACCAUUGGUCAUGAGCGCGGAAGGCCGAAUCGUGUCGGGACUGAACCCGAACCAAGGUCCUUCUCUGAAGAGAAAGAGAAGGCGCACCACUGGGAAGGGCAAAGUACGCGUGCCCGAAGAGAACGAAGGGGUCCCUCCUCCAUUGAAUAUAAACUUCGAGGAGACCUUGACUGUGGACCGUGGUGCUCAAAAUCCAUGACGUAGAGCGGGCCGGCGCUCUGAGAGAACUCCGCCACCUCCCGUGGAUCUGAACGCUAGUCGAGACCCGGACCUCGACUUGAACACGUACGUUGGAGCUUUGAACCCCUCUGGGUUCGCUCACUGUGAAAUCGCCGCGAAUGGCAUACCAAGGUUGCUUCCUAUCGACCGUUUUGGGGACGGCGAUUAUGAACAAGUGAUGACUCAUGCAACCUUGGAUGGGUCCGAUGGAGUGAAUCCCCCCUCCAAUUUGAAUGCGAGCGACGCUCGAUCACUGCUGUCGGGGAUUCAGAUAUCUGGUCAUCUGCGAUUCUGGAUGUCGCGAUACCAGCCGAUUAAUCUGCCAUCCCCGGGAUUCUAGGCUAUCCCGAGGAUCUACUUCAAGCACUUCUCCGAGCUGCCAAUUCCGGAGAUCAUCAGUGAAGUGCUCUUGAGAUUUGAAGUGUCCCUGUCGCAGCUCCCUGCGGGAUUCUUUGUGAUCCUGCGUGGUUUCAUGAACAUCUGCUGGGGGCUCAAUGUUGCUGCGACGGCGAGCUUGUUUCUGUACUUCUACAAGCUCACCAGAGAGAAGUCUGCAUCCGGUCGCUUUGGAUUCACGCGGCGACACUUUGACAAAAAUAUCGUCGACGAGCUCCCGACGAACUUCGGAUGCAACUGGAGAAAAGAGUUUAUCUUCAUAACUUCUGAAUUUCUUCCCGGGAGUCGGGAAAUGUGGAAUGACCCUAAUCGAGUGCAUAUGAACGCCUCGAUCGAGCUGAGUACGAGGGAUAUUGAGGUCUCGGAUCGGAUAGCGCGUACGCUUACUGCAUACUCUGUGCCGCGCGGUGUUCCCUUUGUCCUUUGCCAAAGGGAAGACUUUACAUUUGAUGAUAUUGAGGAAGCUCGUGAGCCACCCACUGAGAAAGAGCUGGAAGGUGGACAAAAACGAUCGAUCCUAUACCACGACGCUGCACCUCUUUAUAUGCGCAAGAGGUUCCGAGAGGGCAAGCUGAUCAGAUUGCGAAAGAAGAAGACCUCUCGCAGCGAGCCUCGCCGGACCUUUGAGCAUGGGUCGAGCUCUCGCUCUGCACCACCACCUCCCAGGGGCUAUGUGCCUUACACUUCUGCUGGAGUGACACUUCCCGACUUCAUGGCUGAUGCUGAAACUCGAAGGGAAGCGAUGUCACUCCUUUUGGGUCAUCCUGGGACCUGGUGCCGGAGCGAGCUCUUAAAGCAUUUGAAUGCCGCAUGCUAUAUGGCACAUGCUUGUUAUCAUGGAGACUCUAUCCAUGACGUCGAGAAGAUACAAGAAAAAUACAACCAACUCGACGCGAAGUUCAAAGAGAGCGAGAAGGCUCUCGAUAAGCUGAAGAAUAUGAGGUCCAGGAUGGAGAACCUCCGUGACAAUAUUCUGCCGAAGAAGGACAAGACCAUUGAGUCCAAGCAGAAAGAAAUAGAUGAGUAUGUCACGAAGAUCUUGGCGCUUCGCAAAGAUCUGAAAGUUGCUAGUUCUGGCAGCACUAAAGACAUUGAAGAUCUAAAGAGCCAACUAGCUAAUGAGAAAGGGUACGUGGCCUCGCUUGAGGCUACGGUAGCGGAGUUGAAGAAGCAAGCUGCUCAGAGCCAACGAGAAACCACUGAGCUGAAAAGCGAGCUUGCAAGUGCGGAAGAAGAGGUUCUGACUCUGAAAGAUGACAAUGCCGCACUUGCUGGGAGAGCUGCUGGGUUGGAUUUGGAUGUACGUUACCAAUCCGACCAGCUUCAAGAGCUCAUAUUCUUUGGUCCUUCCGUGUAUCCUGCUCUACCCCCCGACUACAUCACGGACAUAAUGGCGUGGGUAGAGCAACAUCCUGAAGAGCUCGAGAAAAAUAAAGAAGCUCUCGACAAGAUGAAGGACGAAGCCGCGCGAGAAUAGAUUUUCUAAGUCCUUUUAUUUUGUAACCUUUUUGUACUCGUUAUCUUUUUGUAAAUCUGAAAAUUUUUAAUGAAAUUAAUCGCUUUUGCUUUUCUAUUCAAUUGUUCAUUUACUUUAUUCUUUUGAAUUGUAACUAAGACCCGAAACUAGAUUCGCGAGUCGUAAUUUAGCCGCUCUGGACGUAAAUUAGACUAACCCUAUCGCUAGCCACUCUAGGCGUAGACUUGGUCGUACGAAUCGUAGCUCAGUCUACGGUUAAAUUCGCGAAAAUAAACUAAACUUUACAACUAAUAGUAAGUCGCAAUAUCGAUUAACAAAUUCGAAAGAUAACAAAUAUGUCGAAAGAUAACUAUCAAUCCUAAGACUCUAGAGUUGUAGUUUUGCUCCAGCCAAGGUGACGGAGCAACUUUUUGUCCCAUACCAAAGAUGUAACAAUGAGAUGGGGUGAAAAUUUAAAAACGUUUACUAAUCUAUUAAGGCCGUAGCGACAUGAUAGAUUUUGAUUUGUGGUGGGUACUUAGAACCUCUUGUGGUUGGGUUCACUUGUCCCUAUCAACUACCUAGGACUCUGCUUUUAGACCCUAAUGCGUGGUUGAACUCUGGCCAUGAUGACAGAGCAACUUUUUGGACCCAUAUCUGGGCUGAAGUGAUCAUAAUGUGUUUAAAGAUAAUUUUGAUCUAUUAAGGCAAUAGCGACAAAAUAGAUUCAUAAAGUGGGGUGCUAGCUAGAGUCGUAGGUAGAUGAUAAAUCUAAAUUUUAUUAAAAGAUGUAAAUUACAACAGUAAGAUUUGUAAUUUUUAAACUAACACAUAGACUAAGAGGCUCUAACGUGCUUAAUACUAAGUGCGAUGUUGCUGUACGUUGUCCGUGUGCCAGAUGCAAGGACUUUUGGGUGACAGCUUAUUCCUAUUCCUCUUAGUUAUGCUAGCCUUUCUGUUGGUCUACCACCAGAUAGCAUAUGGAUGGUUUUCCGUGGGUGAUCUUCCCUAUUGUCACUGUCUGGUGAAGGAGAGCGUGGGCGCUUCCCAUUCACGUCAGACUUGCAAUUGUUUCGAUCCCGGGAUCCUUUGACCAGGCUGUCAAGUUCGCCGUUCGAAAUUAAUUGCUCGACAUAAAGCGAGAAUUCCCUGCAAUAGUCUGUCAGAUGGUCGUGGUCCUUGUGGAAUUCACAGAAUUUUCCACUUUUCUGGCGGCGAUCCUUGGUUGCAGGGUUCAUAGAGCGAGGAGCGGGCAGAUCCGCUCUGUUCUUCAGUUUUUCAAACAGCUCGCCUUUGCUGAUUGUUAGUGGGGUCCGGUUCCUCCAAGGUUGAGGUGGACCCCUUGGCGAUCGUUUGACGGAUAUUUGAUACACUUUGUUAUCAUGUUUAGGCUUCCAAUCCUUUCUGAAGGAAUCAGCCGCAUUGCUAGUGUAUCUGUUCGAGGAGUCAUUGUAGCUCUUUCUCUCGAACUUUUGUUUUUUGAAGCUAGUGUUCUCGAGUUCCACUAGCUUGUUUUCAUUCUGCUCUUCCACCUCAAUGAAUGACUGAGCUCGUUGGAAGAGGUCGGGUAAGGUCUCCACUUUGUGGAGUGUGAGAUUCAGGGCCAGAGGGGAGUAGGGUACCAGCACGUUUGUAUACCCCGCAAUGGCCAAACUUGGGAUUAAGUCGCUCACUUCUGUCAUCAUUGAAGUGAACUUAAACGUGUAAUCCCUUAGAGACAGUUUGUCCUGUCGUAGCGCCAAUAGUGCAUUGACGCUGUGUUUGAUCCUGAUCAUCCCCACAUGCUGGGCGAUGAAUUUGGAUGCGAGGUCUGCAAAGCAGGAAAUUGAUCCGGCUGGCAGACCAGAAAACCAUCGAUAGGCAUUGCCCUUAAGAGUGCCGGGGAAUGCUCGACACAGCAGUGCGUUAUCAGUGGUUUGCGGUUCCAGAACGCUGAGGUAGAGGUUGACGUGAUCUUGUGGAUCACUCGAACCAUCGUACGAUUCUAUUCUGGGUACCCGCCAGGUUGGUGGAAAGGCCACCUUCAAAAGGUCCUCUUGGAAAGGAGCGCUUUUGACUCUUAAGAACUCGAUCGGAUUGCUGAUGACUAGAGUGUCAGCCAGCUUCCGACGGAGGUCCUCUACGAAUCGUGUUGUAAGAGUCCUAUCAGUGCGACUCUUACUGGGUCCAGCUCUUAAUUUUUCUGGCUCUGGACCUUUCUUUUUCUCCGUAGUUGGAGAAUUGUGAGAAGCCGAUUUGGUAAGACAUGCCUUAUUACACCAGUCACUACCCAUCAACGCCUCUCAACAAGGACUAGGGCUCCGUCGCUAUGGCAGGACCCCCGGAGAGCUCCCACGGUGCGGAACACGUUCAUCGUCCAGAUCGCCGAGUUAGCCCGUAAAGUCGCCCGAUUGGACUACCAAGUCGCCGAGUUAAGGCAAGAUCGGCAGUAUGGUAGACUGUACGUCUUGGCCCUAGAAACUCGCCGAGUUAGCCCUUAACUAGGUGACUUCCAUACCUGAAUCGGCGACUUACGACCGUUACUCGGCGACAGCCAACGUCAUAAAUGUUACCAUAUAUGACCAUAGGCGCGAUCUCCGCCGAUGAGUGCGCCCUCCGAGACCCUAUAAAAGGGGUCCCAAGGGGACACUCAAAGGCACGAUUCAAGUUCCACUCUCACACCAGAGCACUACACUACGAAACUCGGCGAGUCUCAUUAGAAUCGCCUAGUUUCCACUUGCAGGUAUUUGACGUAGAGCGUGCGUCGUGGACUCCAAAGCCUCCGGCAUCAACCUCGCACCACUGCGAGCCCUGGUAGCAGAUUCAGUGCUUCAUCAGCUGACGCCGUCUGUGGGACUACCGAACCACCGGUAUCCCGUCGUAAUCGCGAUUUUUUAAAAAUCCGGCUCGAGCUCUCCCAAGAGUUCGCCGAGUUUGUCAAAAAAUCGCCUACUUAGAUCGUCCGAUUCUCGGUUAACGUCCGAUUUAGCCUUAAAUCGCCGACUUAUCCUUGAGAAUCGCCCGAUCCGGAAUAUCGUCUGCUAGCUAAGAGUGUUGUCCACGACCUUGUUCGGAAAAACCCCUAACUCGCCGAGUUAACACUUAACUCGCCGACUUAGCUCUUGUUUUCCCAACAGGCUCAGUCAGGUACCUCUCUGCUUUGGUACUUCCUCGCUUUCGCUUUCAUGGCAAUCAUCGAAAAGCAGAAGCACCCUUACGCCACAAGAAGUAAGGGGAAAAUGCCAGCAACUGAGCUGGAACAGGGUGAGCAAUCCCGACCUAAGGGACCCAUCAAUGCUCAACCUGUGGAAACAAACUCGGUUCCUCCUCCUGUCGAGGAACACAUUAUGCCCAAGGCUCCACCCACCUUGGAAGAAAGGUUGUUCAGUUUCAUGGACAACAUUGAAAGAAGGAUGACUAACCUCGAGCAAGCGAGGAGUCAUAGGACCACCACCAUCCGUGAAAGAACGGACGAAUCUGGGUCCAUCUAUUCUCCAUCUGCGGAGAAAAAACAGAGUUCCCGUCCCAAGACGGGACCCAGUAAGAGUCGCUCCGAGAGGACUCUUACUACUCGGUUCGUAGAGGAUCUUCGGCGGAAGUUGGCCACCGACCCAGCCGUCGGCAACACGCACGAAAUCCUGAGGGUUAAAAGUCCUCCUCUUAGCGAGGACCUUUUAAAGGGAGUUUUCCCACCCAACUGGCGGGUACCAAGAAUCGAGGCAUACGACGGUUCAAGUGAUCCAGAAGAUCACGUGAACCUCUACCUCAACGUCUUGGAACCGUAAACCAUCGAUGAUGGGCUGCUGUGUCGGGCAUUCCCCGGCACUCUCAAAGGCAGCGCUUAUCGAUGGUUCUCUGGUCUGCCAGCUGGCUCAGUCACCAGCUUUGCAGACCUCUCAUCCAAGUUCAUCGCCCAACACGUGGGGAUGAUAAGGAUUAAACAUAGUGCCAACGCACUCCUGGCACUGAGACAGGACAAACUGUCUCUGAGGGACUAUACGGUCAAGUUCACCACAAUGAUGACAGAGGUGAACGACCUAAUCCCGAGUGUGGCCAUAGCGGGAUACAUUAGAGGAUUAGUCCCCUACUCCCCUCUGGCCCAAAAUCUGACUCUCUACAAGGUGAGUUCUCUGCCCGAACUCUUCCAACGCACUCAAUUGUACAUUGAGGUGGAAGAGGAGGACGAGAACAAGCUAGCUGAACUUGGGACUCCUAACUUCCAAAAGCCUAAGUUUGAGAGGAAGGGGUACAGUGGAAACAACAAUUUCCACGACACCUCCAACAAGUAUACCAGUAACAAGGCCGAGACUUCCAAAAAAGAAUGGAAGCCUAGGCAUGAUAACAAGAUAUACCAAGCCUCAACCAGCAAGCCAAAGGGUGUAAUUCCACUAUGGAAAAGAAACACCCCGCUUACUAUCAGAAAAGGCGAGCUGUUUGAGAAGCUAAAGAACCGAGCGGACCUACCUGUCCCUCGUUCUUUAGACCCUGCAGGCAAAGAGGGUUGCAUGCAAUCUGGGAAAUACUGUGAAUUUCAUAAAGACAGCGGCCACCUAACAGAUAACUGCAGGGAGUUCUCGUCUUUCGUCGAACAGUUGAUCUCAAAGGGAGAACUUGGCAACUUCGUCAAGAACUCCCGAGGACGGGACAACUGCAAAUCUGACACAAAGGGGAAGCGUCCGCGCUCUCCUUCGCCAGACACUGACAACAGCGAGAACCGCCAGCGGAAGACCAUCAAUAUGAUAUUUGGUGGUGGAUCCGUUGGCCAGAACAGGGGAUAUUCCCGAAAGGUGUUGAUGUCACAGUCAACACCUCGAGACAACGGAAAGCGGUAACAACUUGGAGCUAUCUUAAAAAGGAUACAUUAAAGAGUAACAAAAAUGAUAUUGGAUGGUUCUAUUCCAUUUCCAUCUUGAGAAAAGACAUAAUUGUGAUACAAUGUUCUUCAGAAGAUCGAGAAUACAACUUGUACGUCCCUGUUCUUUUAUUAUUUGGUUAUUUACAGUCUAUGGUUUCUAGUCCUUGAUAGAUGUUAGAUAUUUAAUAUUAUUUAUCUAAUAUAGGUUUUAUCUAUUUUUGUGGAUUUCUUUGUCGUUUUCUUUACAUGUCGAUUUUUAUUUAUUCUUAUUCUAUUAAUAGGUUAAUAAAUUCUUGUUCUAUUUGAAGAAGAGAGUUUCCCACCUCUUCCUCAGGUACGUACCUUCUCCAAGUUAUAAGGGACCUGAUGGAGGUCAUUGAAUUCUUAGUCUACCCUCCUCCAUUAUAGUCUGGGGCAUAGAUGGGCAGGAAGGGGAAUCAUCUUUAAAUGGAGGUGAUUGCCACCACUAAGUCAGACUUUAUCACAUUCCGGUGAUGGAUAUACACUUCCGAUGUUAUAAAAUCAUAUAUAAAAACCAACAUUGUCUCUGAUACCAAAUGAUAGAAAUUAUCAUACUUUAUUAUCUAUGAUUUUUAUAUCAAGAAUGUAAUGUACUUACAGAUUCAAACGCAACUUGUGUUGAAUCCAUUACAACGGAAGUACAUACUUGAUCUCUGUAUGUUUCUUUUGCCUUUCUUCUGAGAUUUUCUCUUUUUUGGGAUUCCUGAGACUUGUCUCUAUUGGAUGUCUUCUUUUGGACUAGUAGAAUAGACGAUGUUUCUUUAACCCUCAUAUCUUAUUUAUAUAAAAGCAAUGGGUUAUUUACACAUUGAUCCAUAUAUUGAUACUCCCACUUGAUCUACUACACAUAUAUUAACCUUUACUCAACCAUAUAAACAAUCUUUAAUGCAUGCUUUGUUUAUUUUUCUUUUUAAGUCUACACUCGGUCUCAUAAAGACAACAAUAAUAAAUCACAGCGUCACUAUGUCUAAAUGUGCAACAUAGAAACUUCUGUGUAUCACAUUACGUUCGUCUUUAUUAACAUUAGCUUCAUGUGGUAGUGCAGCAAACUGAAUGAUACUUUAUAUAUGUAUCAUUUUAUUGUCAGUCCUCUGUAAUCUAAUCCUUAUGGUGAGCCCAUACUCACACUAGACAUUAUUUAUGAUUCUCAUGAACCUUAAUCAAUUUAUGUAUCAUUUUUCUUCUUUAUUGUGAAAUACAUCACACAAAAAAAAAAUGUAUACCUACUAUAUUAUUUUCUCAUCUUUAUUGUAAAAACCAUCACAAAAGAAAAUUUUAACUUUAUAAUUUCAUUUUUAUUGUGAAAAUCAUCACAAGAGUAAAAUUUAACUUUAUAAUCUCAUCCUUAUUAUGAAAUUCAUCACCGGAGACCUUGUUUAAUUUCUUAAUUCAUUCUCACAAAUUAAUCAGAGUUAAAUAAGAAAUUGACAAAUCAUUUAUUAAAAUACAAUUAUUGAAGUUUUGAUAAUCUAAUAAAUAAAUUAAAUCUGAGUAUAAAUAAUAAUAAUAAAUUAUUACAAGAUUGAAAAUAUAAAAUAUUACAUAUGGAAAUAAAAUUACUUUCACUUAAACGAUGACAUCCCAAGAACCCAACAAACUCAUUGCUAAAAUAUGUGAAUUUAGUAUGUUAGGUUGUCCUUUAGUGAGUGGAUCAGCUAGCAUAUCAUUAGUACUAAUAUGACCGACUAUGAUAUCAUUUUCUCUACCUUUUUCUUUGAUUUUUAGAUACUUCAAUUUUAUAAACUUUGUAGACGUGACACUUUUGUUGUUGUUAAUACUCAACACUGUCGAAAGGUUAUCACAGUAUAUUUGAAUUGGUCUUUCAACAAAAUUGAAAACUUUCAAUUGUUGAAUGAAACUUUUUAACCAACUUGAUUGAAUUGAAACUCCAAAGCAUGAAAUAAAUUCAGCUUCCAUGGUUGAUGUGGCUAUUAACUUUUGUUUUUCACUUCUCCAAGAUACAGCACCACCUGCCAUUUUGAAGAUAUAACCAGAGGUUGACUUCUUUUCAUCUUUACAUCCAGCAAAAUCUGAGUCUAAAUAUCCAACUAGAUUCAAGUUUUCAACUCGAGUAUAUGUUAAUCUAUAAUUUCGAGUACCUUUUAAAUAUCUCAAAACUUUCAUCGCAACAACCCAAUGAUCCAAGCCUGGAUUAACUUGAUAUCUUCCUAAGAGUCCAACCAUAAAUACAAUAUCUGGUCUAGUGCAUACCUGAGCAUACAUUAGACUUCCAUAAAGAAAUGCUUUCAUUUCAUUCUUCUGCAAGUUUGUUAGAGGACAUUGAGCUAAAUUCAAUUUAUCACCUUUUACAAUUGAAGCAACACUUGACUUACAUUCUGAGAGAUUAAACCUUUGUAAUAUACGAUCGAUGUAAGCUGAUUGAACAAGACCUAACAAAUGUCUAGAUCGAUUUCUGUUGAUCUCAAUACCAAGAACAAAAGAUGCUUCACCCAAAUCUUUCAUAUCAAAUUCACUUGAUAAGAAUUUCUUUGUUUCAAAUAAUAUACUUAAAUCGUUGCAAGCAAGUAAUAUAUCAUCAACGUAUAGAACAAGCAAAACAUAUUUGCUCCCUCUGACCUUGUGAUAUAUACAUGGAUCCAUGAGAUUUUCCGAAAAACCAUAUGAAGAAAUGAUUUCAUGGAAUUUAAUAUGUCAUUGUCUUGAUGCUUGUUUAAGUCCAUAUAUAGACUUUUUAAGUCUAUAAACAAGCUUGUCAUUUUCUUCAAAACCUUGUGGUUGCGUCAUAUAUAUUUCUUCAUUGAGAUUCCCAUUAAGAAAAGCGGUUUUAACAUCCAUUUGAUGUAGUUCUAGAUUGUAGUGAGCCACUAAAGCCAUAAUGAUUCUAAAAGAAUUCUUCGAGGAAACUGGUGAAAAUGUUUCAUGAUAUUCAAUUCUCUCUCUUUGAGUGAAUCCUUUGGCAACCAAUCUAGCCUUAAACCGCUAAAUCUUUCCUCUGGAAUCUCAUUUGGUUUUAAAAGCCCAUUUGCAACUCACAACUUUAACACCCUCAGGUAACUGAAUAAGUUCUCAUUCUUUAUUAUGGUACAUAGACUGCAUCUCAUCUUUCAUUUCAUCUUGCCACAAAUCACAUUGUGCACUUGCAACCGCUUGAUCAUAUGAGAUAGGGUCAACUGUACUACUACAACCAAUGUCAUAGUCGUAUUCUCCUAAAUAAACUUCAUAAUCAUUAGGGAUAGCUGAUCUUCUUUCUCGUGUAGACCUCCUUGGUUCAAUAACUAGUGGAUCUGCCGGUGUAAUAAUUGGUUCAUCAACUUGAGCAAUAACUAGUGUGUCAACGGAUGUCACUGAAGAUGUGGUUGGUGUAAUCGAAAAUAAGGGUAUAACUACUGUUGAUGGUUGAUGGUCCAAUGAAUUAGAAACCUCUGAAGUAUUAACAUCUGCUACAUCAUUUUUUAAGAAUUUUGCUGUUCGAGAAUCUACAAUUAUUGUUCCACCAUGAGGUCUAUAAAAACGAUAUCCCUUAGAAUGAUUCGGAUAUCCCACAAAAUAGCAUGUCACUGUUCUUGAAUAUAACUUGUUUUAUGUUGGAUUGUAUAAUUUCACCCCUACAGGAUAACCCCAAAUCUUCAAAUGAUUUAAACUAGGUUUUCUACCUGUCCAAAGUUCAAAAGGUGUAACUAGUACUGACUUACUUGGGACUCGAUUCAAAAUAUACAAUGCUGCUUGUAUUGCUUCACCCCACAAGAAUGUUGGUAAAUUUGCUCUACUAGUCAUGUUUCUCACCAUAUCCAUUAGGGUACGAUUUCUUCUUUCUGCCGCUCCAUUCUGCUCAGGAGUUCCUGACAUAGUGUAUUGCCCAAUUAUUCCAUAUUCUUCCAAAUAUUGUGCAAAAGGACCUUUAAGUUGUCCAACAUCUCCAUGUUUACCGUAAUAUUCUCCACCUCUAUCUAUCUGAUCUAACAAUCUUUAUAGAUUUUUCCAAUUGUUUCUCAACUUCUGUUUUGAAUACUUUAAAUUUCUCUAAAGAUUCAUAUUUUUCUUUGAUAAGAAACAAAUGGCCAUAUUUAGAAAAAUCAUCUAUAAAUGUUAUAAAAUAUAAGCAUCCACACAAAGUUUUAUGAUAUGGUCCACUAAUAUCCGUAUAAAUAAUCUCCAAAAGACUAGUGUUACGAGUAGCAGUCUUUUUCCCUUUCUUGGUCAUUUUCCUCUUAAGACAAUCAAUACAUUCUGCAUGGUCAUUAUCUAAAGAAGGAAGAAUGGUCGAUUUAACCAAUCUUUUAAUUCUAUCUUGUGAAAUAUGAUCUAACCUUUUAUGCCAUAAUAUAUAUGAUUUUUCUUUAUUUAAGGGUCUUUUGGAAACUGUAUUUUCCACAUUAUAAGCUAUAUAGAUCUUCAUAGAAUCAAGACAUAAUCUGUAUAGGUCAUAAGACAAAACACAAUUACCCAUAAUCUUUGAGUUAAGAAACAUUGAAACUGUAUUGUUCUUAAAUUCAAAAGAAAAACCAUGUUUGCUUAAUUUACUAACAGAAAUUAGAUUCCGUCUAAACGACGGAACAUACAAAGUGUCUUUCAAUGUUAAACCAAAUCCUAAAUCUAGAUUUAAAAUAACAUCGCCCACAAAUUCUACAUCAGUUUGUCCAUCAUUUCCUACGAACAAUCUUGAUUCAUCCUGAUUUGGCUUCCUUCUAUUUGUGAAUCCCUGUAUGGUGAAUGCAACAUGAUUAGUUGCUCCACUAUCCAACCACCAAGAACUAGAUGAAGAUUCUAUUAAAUUAGAUUCAUAAACUAAUGUCAAAGAAUCAAUACCUUUUUGUUCCUGUUUUAUGAGCCAAGAUUUAUACUUUAAGCAAUUCUUCUUUAUGUGUCCCGGUUUCUUACAGAAGAAACAUCCAUUAAUUGCUUUCUUGAGGGAGUUCUUGUUAGGACCAAAUUUGUCAGAUAAGUUGGUAUCCUUAGAAUCUUUAUUUUUCACAAACUUUUUGAACUUAAAUCCUUUCUUAUUUGAACUAUACAUUGUUAUCGAAAAUUUUUCGCCUUUUAUUUUAUCCCCCAUUUCUCCAAAUAAUUAUUUCUUUUAAUUCGAGCCCAGGCUCGCCGGUUCGAGCCCGGGCCCGAGCCUGACAAUUCUUAAAAUGAGCCGAGCCUGAGCCUGGCUCUAUAAGCAAAAGCUCGACUUGUUUGACACCUUAAUCUCAGAUAAAUAUUCCGAGAAUAUUUUGCCACUUAUCUUCAAAUUCUGAAGUUUUUUGGCGUAGACUCAUCACAUGCGAUCGAGAAUUAGAUGCAAAUUGCAUUUGAAAUGUUUCUCAUACCUCAUGUGUCGUAGCACAAUCAGAGACUUCCGACAGUACCGAGAGUGAAAUUGAUGAAAAUAGCCAUCCUAAAAUCAAUUGAUCUUGCUUGAUGGCAAGAGAGUUGUCCAAUUUUUCCCUACCGGCCAGAUAGUCCAUCAGCUCAUGACCUCGGAUAUUAGCCCCAAAUUGGGCUCUCCACGCGAAGUAGUUGCUGCGGUCUAGGGCUACAGUCUUGAAGUUCUUGGCGGUCACCUUUCCUGGUGCAUCGUUGCCAUAGAGCUUCUUUGCAGCCAGCGAAAUCCCUUUGUCAGCUUCGUCAAUCGACAUUGCGUAUCGGAAAAAAAUUGUGAUCGUCAACGAUUUUGGAGCGAUUCCGAUGAUCAGAGAUGUGCGGCUUCCCAAGAUCAGCUAAGCGAAAGAUACCAUAACAGUGAAUUGAAAUAUAUGAAUGGGGAAAGCCAAACUCGAUCCUUUUCAUAUUCAAUAGUAAGAUCUAUUUAUACAAUUUGUUACUCUAAUAUCCUAUUUGUUUGUUCUUUUGUAUUAUCGAUAUUUAUUGUCUAUUUUUUAUAAUGUUCUUGUCUAUUUUUAUAUUUACAGUCUAUGGUUUUUAGUCCUUGAUACUUGAUAGAUAUUUGAUAUCUAUUAUAUAUUUUAUCUAUUUUUGUGGUUUCUUUGUCGUUUUCUUUAUUGAUUUUUAUUCAUUCUUGUUCUAUUAAUAGGUUACCAAAUUCUUGUUCUAUUUGAAGAAGAGAGUUUCCCAUCUCUUGCUCGGGUACCUUCUCCAAGUUAUAAGGAACCAGAUGGAGGCCAUUGAAUUGUUAGUCUACCUUCCUCCAUUGGAGUCUGAGGCAUAGAUGGACCGAAAGUGGAAUCAUCUAGCUUUAGAUGGGGGAGGAGAGCACGACUUGUGCUAGAACUUCUUCAAGAAAUUUGACAAAUUUACGCUUCUCAACCUUACUCAUGGCUCUCGCGUCUUGAUGUUACAAGAGUUGCUCGUGGAGGGUACGUAAGGCUAUCCCCAACUGAAUCUUUGACUGGGGGAAAGAUGAUUCCGUCAGGGAAUUUGAUGUAAAAAUUCGAAAAACAAACAUAUAACAUUAUUAUUAGAGGAAACGUUUCAAAUAAAAUAUUUAAAAUAAUAUAUAUUUUGUGAAAUAUUAAUUUAGAACGUUCAUUUAUUUUAAAUUAAAUUAAACACAUCUUAAGGUAGAUCAUAUCAUUUAAUUAGUGGAAUGUUUUAGAGAUUAAUUUUAUACCAUUUAAAUGAAAUAAAAGAGUACUUAUACUAUUACAACAUUUGUAAUUAAUUAAUUAAUUAAUUCUAAAGGAUUUUUAAUAUAAAAAUUCUAAUUGGAGCAGCGGUCUUCCGCUUCUCUCUCCGGCUCGGACCCGGUUCAUCACCGUUGGGUGAUUUUUGUUUACCGUGGUCUUCCCCCAAUUAAGUUAGGAUUUAGGUCGUCUUCUUCAACAACAACUCUUCUAAUCGUCGUGCUAUCUUCCUGGAUAGUGGAGCAGUCUAUCAGCAUCAUAUCAUCGUCGGCUUCUUCAGAUUCGGCAUUGUCUUCAAUGUUGAUAGGAGGGAAAAGACGCAACACAUCUUCAUGAAAUUCCCAAGACGAGUCCUCCGGUAUCGCUCCAUUCCAAGCGACCAGCCAUUGAUUUCUCUGUCUCGAUCUCACCCUGAAAAAUGGUACGUUUAUUAGAAUAAAUAACUUCUACUGUUUUUUUAGUUGAGUUUAAUAUUCUCAAAUACAAUUAAGUUUAUACAAUGAGUUAGUUGUUAGAGGUUAAUUAGUUUUAGAUACUCUUUCUUAUAAAUUCUUUUGUAAGACUGUAUUCUUGGUUAAUGAAUUAAGUUCUUUCUUUUGAGAUUAUUGUUGAAUUGAGCUUGAAACAAGCACCAAAAUCUUGGUACUCAAGACUGAGUGCAUUCCUAAUAUUAAAUGAAUUCACUAACAGUCUGGCAGAUACAUUAUUGUUUCAAAAAAAAGAUAAUAUUUUAAUUUGAGUAAUUGUGUAUAUAUAUAGAUGACAUUAUAAUUUCAAGAAACAACAACAUUGAAAUUGAAGUUUUUAUUAAAAAUCUUUGUACUGAAUUUAGAUGUAGAGACCUAGGACUUUUGAAAUAUUUCUUUAGUAUAGAAAUUAGAUACAAUUUUGAUGGGUCACUUAACAUGACUCAACCUAGAACUUUUGGACUGGUCCAUGUUCCGAUCUUUAAAUAUAAAAAGGGUUUUGUAAAUUUGAUUUUGGUUGUAAACACGAAUCAUCUUGUAGGGUUUCAGCGGGAAAUGAGGGUUUCACUGGAGGCAAGGGUUUGCUGGAGGCAAUCGUUCGGGUAUGUUUCUAGUCUUCUUCUUUUGUGCAUGUCGCUCUAUUCUUCUUGUGUAUGUUGUCUUUGGUUGGGUAUCCUUAUUCAUUUGUAUUCUUAAUGGGUUUUGUAGUGGGUGUUCUGUCUGUUAAUGUGUUUGCAUGUCAGUGUUUUCUUUCAUGGUGUUUGUUUUCCUUCAUCCUUUGUGUUUGUUUUCCUCUAUCAGUCUGUUCCGUGUAAGUUUUCCAUAUUCAGUUUCUUUUUGAGAUGAUUGAAUAGAUAUCCUGUAACAUCUUUUGUGAAGAUGUCUUCCACGUUUUCUUUGGUGUUUACCCUUUCUAUUUCAAUCUCUUUUUGCAAAGCUUUGUCUCUGAUCGUGUGUGUAUCGAUUUCUAUGUGUUUUGUUCUUUGAUGUAAGACUGGGUUUGUUGCGAUUGCAGUUGCAGAGGAACUAUUUGUAUAGAGUUUUGGAGUUACUAUAUUUACAUGCAUUUCCUUUAAUAGUUGUUUUAGCCAUGUGAUUUCACAAGUUGUGUGUGCUAAGGGUCGGUACUCUUCCUCUGCUGACGAUCUUGCCACUGUAUGUUGUUUUUUGGUUUGCCAUGAAACUAGGUUAUCAUUCAAGAAGAUGGCAAAUCCUGAUGUGGAUCGUCUGGUUGUGGGGCAAGAGGCCCAGUCAGAGUCUGAAAAUACUUUAAUCCUUCAGGUUCUUGUGCCUGAUGAGAAGAAAAGUCCACUUCCUGGUGAGUUUUUAAUGUAUCUUAAUAUUUUGUUCACCUUAGUAGAGUCUUCAUUUGUUGGUUCUGACAUGUGUUGGCUUAGUUGGUUUACUACAUAUGUUAUAUCGGGUUUGGUUACAGUUAGGUAGACAAGUUUUCCAACUAUGCAUCUGUACUCAGUAGGAUCAUCAAGUAAUUUAAUUUCCUUGUUCUGUUUGUUUGGCGAUCUUGAUGGUGUAUAGAGUGGGUAUUCUCCUGGUUUAGCAUGUAGAUAGUUGUUUUGUUCAAGGAUUUCUAAUUCAUAUUUUCUUUGGCUAAUAAAAAUCCCAUGUUGUGUUGUUGUGAAUUCUAAUCCUAAGAAUUUUUUUAAUGUUCCUAGAUCUUUGAUGUUAAAAAAACUGGUUAAAUCUGUCUUAAGUUUGAUUAUUUCUUUUAAGUUAUUUCCUGUGAUUAAUAGAUCAUCUACAUAUGGUAGGAUGAAAAUUUUAUUUUUCCCAUUGAUCUUACCGAAGAGAGCAUAAUCCUCUCUUGUCUGUUUAAAACCUAAUUUGUUUAGUACUUGUUGUAGUUUGUUAAACCACAUUCUAGAUAUUUGUUUUAAGCUAUAUAGAGGUUUUGUUAAUUUGCAUGCUAGUUUGUGGUUAUCUGUUGGUUCUUUGUUGAUCCUUAGACCUUGGAGAAUGUCCAUAUGUAGACUUCUUCAUUUAAGUCUCCAUGUAAGAAGGUGGUGAGACAUGCCUGAUUACGGCAGUCACUCCCAGCAACGCCUUUCAACAAGGACUAGAGUUCCGUCGCUUUACCCCCGGAAGGCUCCCACGGUGCGGAACAAGUUCAUCGUCAAAUCGCGAGUUAACCCAUAAAUCGCAAUUGGACUACCAAAUCGCCGAUUUUAGGGACAAAUCGUUGAGUUAGGUCCCAGAUAGGCAGUAUGGUAGACUGCAUAUCUCGCCCCUUGAAACUCGACUAGUUUACCCUAAUAGGCAAUUUUCAUACCUGAAUCGUCGAUUUACGACCGUUACUCGCCGCCAGCCAACGCCAUAAAUGCACCCAUAUAUGGCAAUAGGCGCGAUGUCCGCCUUUGAUCGCGCCCUCCGAGACCAUAUAAAAAGGGUCCCAAGGGGACACUCAAAGGCACAACACAAGUUCCACUCUCACCAGAGCACCACUAAGAGAAUCGCCGAUUCCCACACCAGAAUCGCCGAUUCUCUCCUUUCAGGUAUUUGACGUAGAGCGUGUGUCGUGGACUCCAGAGCCUCCGCGAGCCCUGGUAGCAGAUUCUGUGCUUCAUCAAUCCUUCAGUGGAUGCUAGGGAGAUAAGUGUUCUUAGUGUGGUCAUUCUAGAAACUGGUGCAAAAGUUUAUGUGCAGUCUAUCCCCUCUGUUUAGUUAUAGCCCUUGGCAACCAAUCUAGCUUUGAAUUUGUCUAGGCUUCCAUCAGCCUUAAGUUUUGUCUUAAAAACCCAUUUGCAAUCUAUGAUUUUUGUCUCUCUUGGUACUUCAGUGAUUCUCCAAGUGUUGUUUUGUUUUAGUGCAUUUAUUUCAUUGCUUCUUGCCAGUGUGAUACUUGGCUUGCUUUUUGUAAUUUUUAGGUUCUAUGUGUUCUGAAAUUUUAAUUAGAAAUGCUCUGUGUUUUUCCGAAAAUUUGUUGUAGUUGAUGUGGUUGCUUAUUGGAUAUUUUGUUGUGUUGUAACAAACGUAGUCAUCCAAUUUUGUGGGUCUCUUUCUCUCUCUUGUGGGUCUUUCAGGCUUUUCUCUCCUAUUGUUUCAUCUUCUACAUGGUUGUUUGAGUUUUCAGAGUUUUGGUUGUCAUGAUUUUGUUGAAUUGCUUGGUCUUGGAUUUGUGUUCUCAUUGUUGAACUUGAUUUCAGUAUCUAUAAGGAGGAUCCCAUUUUCCUUUUCUUCUAUGUUUUUGAAAGGGAAGAUAUUUUCAUGGAAUAUUACAUCUCGGUUGAUAAUUAUUUCAUUGUUUUUAAUAUCGAGAAUCUUGUAUCCUUUUGUUAAUGUAGAAUACCCUAGAAAUACCCCUUUUGUGGCUCUGGCCUCAAAUUUAUUUGUCGGUUUAUUGAUUUUUGAGUAGCAAAGACAUCCAAAUUUUUUGAGACUUUCAUAUGAUGGUUCUUUUUGGAAGAGUCUGAAAUAAGGGGUUUCAUUAUUGAUGGUUGGUGAGAACAUUCUAUUUAUGAGAUAGCAAGCAGUUUGGAUGCAUUCUCCCCAGUAAGUUGUUGGAACUUCAGAUUGGAAUAUUUAGCAUCUAGUUAUGUCUAGGAUGUGUUUGUGUUUUCUUUCUACUAUUGAGUUUUGUUAUGGGGUGUAGAGGCAAGUGAGUUGGUGUUUUAUUCCAAAGCCCUAUAGAAAGGUUUGGAGGUUUACGUUAAGGAAUUCAGUACCAUUAUCGGUUCUGAUUGUUUUCACAGAAGUGUCAAAUUGGUUGAUUGCUUUUGUGAUGAAAUGUUUUAGUUUUCCUGGUGUUUCCCCUUUAUUGUGUAAUAGUAUUAUCCAGGUGGCUCUACUAAAGUCAUCCACUAUGGUGAUGAAGUAGUGGUGACCAUUGUAUGUUGGUGUUCUGCAUCUUCCCCACAAGUCAAUAUGUAGUAAUUCAAAAAAAUUCGUAGUUUUGGAAGUACUUGUAGAAAAUGAUAAUCUAAUAAAUUUUGCAGUUGGACAUUCAUUACAUAAAAUAUUUUUAAACAUAGGAAUAGAUGGAUUGUUUUUCCUAAUUAGAUUGUAUCUCAAAAUUAAAGAAUGUCCUAGCCUUCUAUGCCACAGCUCUGCAUUUUUUUGAGCUGAAUUUACCCAUACUUGUCCUUCUUUCGUUUCUUCAGAUGAUAGGAUGUAGAGUCCUUUCCUUUUAACCAUAGAAAUCGAAUUCAUCUUCGAAUCCUGUAUUAGACAGUGGUUAUUAUAGAAAACGAAAAAGCAGUUAAUUGAAUUUGUCAGCUUUGUGACAGAGAUCAAAUUAACAUUGAAAUUUGAAAUUUUUAACAUUGGAUCUAGUGUUAAUUUUUCAUUCAGGGUGAAUGUUCCAACCUCGUGCAUAAUUGCUAUGUGAGAGUUUGGCAUAUGGACCUUAAUAGGAUGGUUAAGUAUCCUUAUGUUGGAUAGCUGGAUUACCGGACCACACAUGUGGUAUGUGGCUCCACUAUCUAUCACCCAUUCAUUUUGUCUAUUCACUGUUGAAAUGAAGCAGUAAGAUUGUGUACCUGAUUUUUCUAUGUCAUGGGUUGUAGAUCUUCCCACGUUUGCAGAGUGUUUAGGUUUGUUUUGUCAUUGUAGCAUGGACAUGAGUUGCUCAAUGGUGUAGCUUGGUUGUCCUUCUGAAUAAUUGACUCUAUUUCUUGUGGGGUUUCAUGGUGAUCUUCUUGGUUGUAGUUAUCUUGGUAAUUGUAGUCUUCCCAGUUUUGUUGUUCUUGUGGCUCUUCUGAAUCCUCAGUGUAUGUGUUGUUUGCCCUGUAGUUUGCCUAUUGUAAUUCCUGCCAUACUGGUUUUUGUUUUCCCUUCUUGGGUAGCUAUUUGUUGGAUUGUAGGGUCUGUUAGGUCUCCUGAAAUUUUGUGAGUUAUUUCCAUUGUUGUAUGUUUGCCUUUCAGGGUAUCCAUGUACUUGGUAGCAAUUGUCAACAGUGUGCCCUGAUCUUUUGCAAUGUGUACAGAAGGGCCUUUCUCUUAUCUCUGGUUUUGAUGGUUUGUAAGGGUCAUUUGCCAGUAAGGUUGUUGUUACCUCAGUUGUGGGUACUGUGUGAUUUCUUUGCUGUUAUUCUUGUUUGAUUAUAGGAUAUAAUUCACCAAGUUUUGGGGUCGAUUUCUGAGCCAUUAGGACACCUCUAAUUGUUGUGUAGGUUUCAUUCAGUCCCAUUAAGAAUUUUACUGAUCUUGCAAAUUCAUCAGGGGGGUUAAUGUCUUCUUUGUUGGUGUCAUAUGUGCUCUAGAUGAGUUUAGUCAGUUUGGUGUAGUAUGUGCAUACUGAGUCUUGUCCUUGGUAGAGUGUGUAUGUUUGUACUAGGACAUCAUAAAGCAUUGCACCAUUUGAUUGGUUGUAUCUGAUUGCCAAUUCAUCCCAUAAUAUCCAUGGUUUGCUAGCUGUGAGAAAAGAUGGUUGUAGCUCUGGUGUGAUGGAGCUUAGUAAUCAAGAAUGUAUCAUAGUGGUGCAGGCCUUCCAUUUUCUAUGUUCCUUUGAAUAUGUUUCUUGGUCUGGUUCUGGUAUGACUCCAAGUAGGAACCCUAAUUUUGAUCUACCUUCUACUGCCAUUUCAAAAUGCUUUUUCCAUACUGGAUAGUUAUUACCAUCCAGUUUAAUAGUUACCAUAAAAUGUGAAGAGAAUUCUGAACUGUAGAUGUCAUCCUCUUUUGUUUUUGUGCUUUGUAUGUUUUGAUCAUCAUAUUCAGACAUUUUCUGCAGAUUCAUAAUUAGCUAAUUACGUGGAGUUUGUAGAAGGCGAAAAUUCUAAGUAGCAAAUGUGAAUGUGGAAGUUAAUACUAAGGAGUGUGUUGACCACUUGAUGGUCGAGGAAGAUGUUGAUCCUCCUCCUGAUCCUACUGAAGAUGAGGCUACAAUGAUUCGUAGGGCUACUAGAAAGAGGAACAGGGAGGAAGGAGAAGUGUUCCACGAUCCUUUCACAGUGUGGAUGGAUGACUGCUGGAGGAAAGGUAUUUCCCCUGACCUUAAUAAUGCACCUAGGUAUCGUGAUUAUAAAUGGGAAAAUGAUGAUGAGCUUCCACCUUGAGAUGGUCGUUUUGAUGAAAUGUUUAAUUCAGAUACAGAAGUUAAUGGAGGUAUCUAUGGAUUUAGUGAAGAUUCUGAGGUUGAUCGUCUCUAUGAUCGUGAGAUGUUGGGAGUGAGUGUGGACAUUGUAAUUGUUAUAAGUGAUGAUGAUGAUGAUGCUGAGGAUAGUGAUGCUUGGUAAUCCUGAUUAUAUGGAGUUGAUCUUCGACACUUGAAAGAACUGAAGAAAGAGAAUAAGGGUAAUGUAGAGCCAGACUAUGAGAAGUGGCUCAAGAUGAUACUUAAGAAGAAAUCGAAGUGAGGAUUUUCCUCAUCUUUUUGAAGUAAAGAAAAAAAACUUUAUAUAUUUUGUUUUCUCUUUGAGAAUAAAUACUUUCCCUUUUUUUUAUUAACCUAUUACUUGGGUUUGUUUUACUAUGGGGAUCUCAAUCGCUCUGAUACCAUGUUAAGUUUUAAUGUGUAUGAAAUAUAAUCCAAGUAUGGUUUAAUGAUUAAUCCAGAGUAAAGCAAAAUAGUGUUGAUGCAGCGGAUAAUAUUGAUUGUUUAAUUUAUCUAAUGAGUAUGAUCAAGAUGUGUUGCAGGUAGAUAAUGUUUGACAGGGAUGAUAUAUAUAUGAUUUGUCCAAGUAGAAGCGGAGAUAUGUGUAUGCAAUAGAUAUCAGGUAUGAUAUAUAUAUGAAAUGUAAGCAGAUGAUUUAGCAAUACUGAGAUCGUUUGGAGAGCGAGGAGAUGACGAUGUAGGAGAGUCGAUGAUUGAGUGUAGAGCAGAUCGGAGUGAAGUUGAUGAUGACUUUGAUCCACAGAUGAUGAUUCCCAAAGGGAGUAUGAUUUUGAAACUUAGUAUCACAAACUGUAAAACAAUGUUAGGUUUGAGUUUGAUCUAUAUAGAUGGUUUAAAUGUUUGAUUCCAGCUUACAACGGUCAUAAGCUCAAGGUUCAACUGGCGCUUGUUGUCCUGUUGCUGAAGGCAAAGGUGACAUCAAGUGAUGGUUGGACCUUCCUAAGAUUUCUAUCAUAUUAAAGGUUUAGGUAUUAAAUUGAUCAUGUAAGGGUUUAGAUUGUAAAUUGGUUAAUGAGGGUUCAUAUUGUAAAUGUUGUAAUUAUGGAUUUAUGUAAUAAUUUUAUAGAAACCCAGUUAUCAAAAAUAUGUCAAAACAUAUUGAGAGUGACAUCCAUUACAUUAGAGAAUUAAUUACAAAUAGUUUAAUAGUAGGAAAAUCUCCAUCCCUGUUCCGGACUGAAAUCCCCGUCCAUUUCCCUGCCCCGGAUAAUAUUCGUACCGUGGUAAAUUAUAUUUAUACCUUAUAUAAUAUCUUAUAUAGUAUAAUUUAUAUAAAUAACCCUAUAUAAUAUAUUAAAUGCAUAGGUUUAUAUUCAAAAUGUAUCCAUAAAAAAUUUAUAUUUAACCCUAAAUCCCUAAAAAUUUAAUUUUUAACUAUUUGGAUGAAUUGUGAUUUAGAGAUAAUAAAUAUAAAUUUAGAAACUUCUUUUUUAAUUAAUGAAUCCUCGAUUAAUUUUUCACGAUAUUUUUCUUUAAAUUUUUUUUCAUAUCGAUUUUUAAUUAUAUACUAACACCACAAUUUUAGAUUUAAUUUUUAGAAUUAUUCUUUUUUUAUUCUUUAGCUGGUUAGUUGCAAUUUUCAGUUUGAAAAUAACCAUUUUAGAAUAGAAAUGAGCAUUUCUCUCUCUCUCACCCAUUUUUUUCUUUCAAAACAACUAUAUAAUCAUCGAUAGAUAUCAAUCAAUCUAUUGAAAGGAGAAAGAAGACGUGAGAUCUCGAUAGUUCUUUCGAAUUUUGAUUUUUCUUAGGUCAAGAAUGGUUCACGUAACCGAGAUGGAGGAAAACAAUUUAAGUGAGGUUGAUUGCUUUUCUUCUCAAAAUAAUUCGACCCAAGCAACCAAUUUUUUUCCACAGGUUUAUUUAUCAUUGUUUUAGAUUCUAAACAUUACAUUUGUUCUAUUUCCUUCUUAUUCUUUUUUCUUUUGUAUAUGACAAUUCUCUCAUUUCAUUUUAUAUUUUUAUUUAUCAGGGAUCAUCAACUCCAUUGUCUCAAAAUAAUUCGACCCAAAUAAUGAAUUCUUCUGGGCAGGUUUAUUUAUCAUUGUUUUAGAUUCUAAACAUUACAUUUAUUCUAUUUCCUUCUUAUUCUUUUUUUCUUUUGUAUAUGACAAUUCUCUCAUUUGAUUUUAUAUUUGUAUUUAUCAGAGAUCAUUAAGACCCCAAAAUAUACCUAGUAUUGAGCGUAACCGAAAUUCCCAUAGCCAUAGGCGUCGUUCCACACAAAAUCAUCAAUCUCGAAGACGUCAGCAAGUUGAUUGGGUUUCUUCAUUAAAGCAGUCGAUUGUUAUUCCUCCUUACCCUAUAAACCAAGCUAUUUAUCCUCCAUUUAAUGUUGUUCCUGCUCCCCUUCCGAUGGAAAUGAAUCAAUAUCCUUACCCAACAAAUUUUACUACUAGACAACCAUUCGUGAUGAAUUCUUGGCACGAUUGCAGAUAUCUACCAUUUCCUCGUCAUCAACCUUUUGGGUUUAAUCCUCUCAGUAACUUUUACAGACCACAAGAGCAUAACUCUAGUUGGACGUCAAUAAAUCCACAGAUACCUGGUAGACAUUUCAAUCAGGCACACCAACCUUAUCCAUUUUAUCCCUCAUGUAAUCCAUUCCAAAUGCGAAUUAUGAAUCAAAGACCUUAUUUUAUGAAUAUGCAAGCACCGGCAUUUAUACCAACUCAUGGAGUGUAUGGAAAUGAUUACAACCAGGGUACCACCCACUUCUUCUGAUUAUUUCUACCAAUUGCUAAUUUUAUCAUUCAUCAUUCAUAUAUAUUUAGGUAAUGCAGUUCAUUAUUCUGCACCAUUUGAAUCGUCGAAUCUUAAUGAUCUUCAAGAGUUGAAGACGAGUAUACGUGUUCAAAUUGAAUAUUACUUUGGGUAUAUAUCAUUUCAUAUAUGAGAUUUUUUUUUUUAAGUAUAUAUGUUUUUGUAACGUUUUCAUUGUAUUUUUAUAGAGAUACCAACUAUCCAACUGAUGAUCAUCUACACAAAAAAAUGGAUAAAGAAGGGUGGGUGGACAUAUCUGAAAUCGCACAAUUUAGAAUGGUGUGUUCAAAAUAUUUAUCGUUCUAGGAAGUUACAUAUUCUCAAUAUUUCCAACUAACAACUAUAUAUGCUUCAAUUGUGAUGUUACAGAUAAGAAGAAAAAAUGUUGAUUUAUCCCUUAUUUUAGAAUCUUUGAAAUCGUCAAAAAUGAUCGAAAUAAAGGUAAUUAUAAUACAUGUAAAAAUUAAAUUUCACUAUGACUAAUUAAGUGCUUGAUACAAUUUUAUUUAUCGAUCAUAAAGAGUAUAAUUUUUUAAAUGGUGUUGUAUAUUUAACAUUUAUGUUGUUUUUUGUUUAUAGGGAAAUAAGAUAAGAAAAAUCAUUCAUGAAAAAAUGCUUCCAUUACCUGAAACGACGACCGAUACAAGUCAAUGAUAAAGAGCUUAUCGGCCUCAAGAAGUUUUAACUUUAUUUUUAAUUUGAACCUUAUUAUCUGAUUUUUACAACAUUUAGUUAGCCAUUAAUAAUUGGUUAAGUGACAUUUCCACAGUUUGAUUUUUGGCUACAUUUCGUUAGCCAUUUUUUGUUUGAUUGUCAUUUCGUCAUUUUUAUGUUCGACCAGAUUUCGUUAACCAUUUUUUAGUUGUGUGUCUUUUUGCUGUUUGAUUUUUGGCUAUAUUUUGCUAGCCAUGUUUGAGUGAGCCUCAUUUUGGCUGUUUGUACUUUAUAGACUUCAUUUUAACAUUCUAAAUUGAAGAAUUGAAUUUUUUUUGUUAAUUAAUUUGAGGUUAUCAACUUUGAUACUUUUCUUUUAUCCAUGUAUUUUGGUUAAUAGCAAGAACCUAGUGAAGCUCAAAUAAAAAUUGCAAACGAUCAAGUGAAUGGAAAUAACAAAAUAAAUAAAUGUCAAAUACCACAAGAAAUACCAUAAGAACUGCAAAGCAAGGCAUAUUUGAAGGUGUUUCGAUCUGCAUCUUUCCUGUGACGGAAAGGAUAUACAAUGUGAGAAUUGAUUGAAACGCAACUUGUGUUGAAAUAUACUUACAGAUUCAAACGCAACUUGUGUUGAAUCCAUUACAACGGAAGUACAGAUAGACGAUAUCUAUUUGUUUGUUCUUUUGUAUUAUCGAUAUUUAUUGUCUAUUUUUUAUAAUGUUCUUGUCUAUUUUUAUAUUUACAGUCUAUGGUUUUUAGUCCUUGAUACUUGAUAGAUAUUUGAUAUCUAUUAUAUAUUUUAUCUAUUUUUGUGGUUUCUUUGUCGUUUUCUUUAUUGAUUUUUAUUCAUUCUUGUUCUAUUAAUAGGUUACCAAAUUCUUGUUCUAUUUGAAGAAGAGAGUUUCCCAUCUCUUACUCGGGUACCUUCUCCAAGUUAUAAGGAACCAGAUGGUGGCCAUUGAAUUGUUAGUCUACCUUCCUCCAUUGGAAUCUGAGGCAUAGAUGGACCGAAAGGGGAAUCAUCUAGCUUUAGAAGGGGGAGGAGAGCACGACUUGUGCUAGAAUUCUUCAAGAAAUUUGACAAAUUUACGCUUCUCAACCUUACUCAUGGCUCUCGCGUCUUGAUGUUUCAAGAGUUGCUCGUGGAGGGUACGUAAGGCUAUCCCCAACUGAAUCUUUGACUGGGGGAGAGAUGAUUCCGUCAGGGAAUUAAUGUAAAAAUUCGAAAAACAAACAGAUAACAUUAUUAUUAGAGGAAACGUUUCAAAUAAAAUAUUUAAAAUGAUAUAUUUUGUGAAAUAUUAAUUUAGAACGUUUAUUUAUUUUAAAUUAAAUGAAACACAUCUUAAGGUAGAUCAUAUCUCGAGGUUGUAUAUCUCAAUUUACUCCAAAUAAAUAUGUUAGAUUAAUAUCUCAU